UAAUAUAUCUGAGAUUUGGGGAAGAAGAAAUUAAUAGUAUAAAUUGGUAUUCUAAAUAUGCUAAAACUGAUAAACUAGUAUAAUUUAAAGACGCGAUUGAUCUCAUGAUUUAUUAUAUGUUAUUUAAAUUAUCAUAUAAUUAAUUAGGAAUUACAAAAAGACUUCUGAUCAAUUAGAUUAGUGUUUGCAUAACUUUGAUCCAAAUCUUUGGUUCGUUUUUCACCUAAUUUUGGAGGCGAUUAUUGAGUUUGCAUCGGUGAUUAAUCUACUUGCCAUGGAUUUAGGGUUUCGUGCGAGUGGCGGAUCCCGGCAGUUUCGAUAUCCUUAAUACGACGAGGGGAAGCGAUGCCGGAUCUGCACUUUGGGGGAAGGGACUGGGCGGAGUUCGGGUCUCCUUCUCUCUGUUUCCUGAGGGCCGGAUUGCGUCGAGGUACGCCUACGACGGAGGACGUCCGCCGGGGAGAGGAGCACCCAGCCCUUCUUCUAUGUUAUCAAGGUAGAUCCAUCAUUUAUGAAUCACCUGCAGAUGAACCUCGUGCUGCUGGAGUUUGUGGCUGUGCUGGGGAUCCCCAAAAGCUUUUGCCAUUCAUGACAACCACCGAGAAAUGAAGGCCACCAUUCAUUUGUAAAAUGAAUGGUAAAAUGAGCACAUUAAAGAAAAUUGUGGUUCAAGGUUCUCUGAGACAGCUGCCCAACAUGGCCAAGCAUAUCGCUCUUCAGAUAUUGUGGUCUUGUUAUGGCAAAAGAGAUGAUAUCUGGACCAAUGUCUUGUCCAAGAAAGAAUAACCAAGUCUCCAUAAAUAGCGAAUUGGAGAGGUAUUCACACAAAUCAAACGAGAUGGAUUGGAGUAACUCAUUACUAGCGUAGAGCAUGGUUCAUCUAAUUUACUGAUGACAUCUCCUGGUGAAACAUACAUAUAAGGUCACAGUUGCUCGAGCGACCAUAUCAUCAGAUGCUCAAAAGUAUCAUAUAAAGUCACAUCAACAAAGCCAUGGUUGAGGUGGCUCCUCGGGUGUAACUGUUUACCUCGUCUUCAGAAUUACAUGGCAGAUGAUUGAUUCAUCUUUCCAGGCUCCAAAGCCAUGAUGAUUGAUUCAUCUCGUAGAUACCAUGAUGUUAGAUAUGGGCAGUGCUAGCCACUUUGAAUUACAUGUUCUUGGUGUUUUCUGCAUCAUUAUGAGUUCUUAAAGGAUUUUAAAUGUCAAUUACAGUUUCAAUUAUCACAAUGUAUAAUGGAUACAGAAUGGUAACUUAACUUUAGAGGAAUAAGGAGGAGACAUUUAUAA